GGUUCUAUAGUGUAAGGGUUAUCACAUUGGAUUCUGAUUCAGAAUUUUCCAAUAAUCUGAGUUCGAAUCUCAGUAGGACCU